AAAAACUUGGGAAUUCUAUAAAAUAAGAAAAUAUAUAUUUAAAAAAAGAUAAAUAAGUCUACAAUCGAUUUUUAAUACAACUAUUUUUAUAGGAAGAGUGUUAUCCAGAAUGAUAUACGCCAAAAAUGACGUUGCUGGGUAUCGAACCCAAGACCUGUAAAUAUUUUACUACAUUUGUUUAAUAAAACUAUGAUUAUAGGUAGCACACUUUAUAGUUAAAUACAACAAAAAAAUAGAUCGUGGUGGUAAAUAACACUCUUACAAUCACACGCUACCUAACAC
rnacentral:lncRNA from 1 species